rnacentral:lncRNA from 1 species
AUCAAUAAUUAAAAAUAGUCUAUUUAUAUUAAAAAGGAAAAGUUCUUAUAUGUCUUAAAAAUGCAUUUCAUGGCGAGGUACAGAAACUAUACUGUAAACAGUAGACUAUAGAUAUAGGUGAACUAGGUACAAGAGAACUCUAAAUCUUAAAUACUACAAACCACCUCUGUUCUAUGGAAGAUAAUGAUAUAACUGGACCAGAAAUACACA